rnacentral:rRNA from 1 species
UUGGAGGGCAAGUCUGGUGCCAGCAGCCGCGGUAAUUCCAGCUCCAAUAGCGUAUAUUAAAGUUGUUGCAGUUAAAAAGCUCGUAGUUGAAUUUCGGGGUUAGUAGGUUGGUCAUGCCUCUGGUAUGUACUGAUCCUACUGAUUCCUCCUUCCUGAUGAACCGUAAUGCCAUUAAUUUGGUGUUGCGGGGAGUCUGGACUGUUACUUUGAAAAAAUUAGAGUGUUUAAAGCAAGCUAACGCUUGAAUACAUUAGCAUGGAAUAAUGAAAUAGGACGUUCGAUCCUAUUUUGUUGGUUUCUAGGAUUGACGUAAUGAUUAAUAGGGAUAGUUGGGGGCAUUAGUAUUCAAUUGUCAGAGGUGAAAUUCUUGGAUUUAUUGAAGACUAACUACUGCGAAAGCAUUUGCCAAGGAUGUUUUCAUUAAUCAAGAACGAAAGUUAGGGGAUCGAAGACGAUCAGAUACCGUCGUAGUCUUAACCAUAAACUAUGCCGACUAGGGAUCGGAUGAUGUUAAUUCUUUAAUGACUCAUUCGGCGCCUUACGGGAAAC